GGUCCUAUGGCUUAAUGGAUAAAGCGCCGGUCUACGGAGAUACACGUUGGCAACCGGAGAUUCCAGGUUCGAUCCCUGGUAGGAUCG
rfam:Chlamydomonas reinhardtii strain CC-503 cw92 mt+ CHLREscaffold_30 genomic scaffold, whole genome shotgun sequence.